rnacentral:rRNA from 1 species
CCCUUAGAUGUUCUGGGCCGCACGCGUGCUACACUGAGCGGGUCAACGGGUGAGGAUGUGCGAAAGCAUUUCCCAAUCUCGAAAUCCGGUCGUGAUGGGGAUAGACUUUUGCAAUUUUUGGUCUUCAACGAGGAAUUCCUAGUAAACGCAAGUCAUCAACUUGCAUUGAUUACGUCCCUGCCCUUUGUACACACCGCCCGUCGCACCUACCGAUUGAAUGGUCCGGUGAAGCCUCCGGAUUGGCGCGCACCUCGGUGCCGCCGAGAAGUUGGCUAAACCUUACCAUUUAGAGGAAGGUGAAGUCGUANCA